rnacentral:rRNA from 1 species
GACGAACGCUGGCGGCGUGCUUAACACAUGCAAGUCGAACGAUGAUGCCAGCUUGCUGGUGGAUUAGUGGCGAACGGGUGAGUAACACGUGAGCAACCUGCCCCUGACUUCGGGAUAACCGCGGGAAACCGUGGCUAAUACCGGAUAUGACGCGCUAUCGCAUGGUGGUGUGUGGAAAGAUUUAUCGGUUGGGGAUGGGCUCGCGGCCUAUCAGCUUGUUGGUGGGGUGAUGGCCUACCAAGGCGACGACGGGUAGCCGGCCUGAGAGGGUGACCGGCCACACUGGGACUGAGACACGGACCAGACUGCUACGGGAGGCAGCAGUGGGGAAGAUUGCACACUGGGCGAAAGCCUGAUGCAGCGAAGCGGCGUGAGGGAUGAAGGCCUUCGGGUUGUAAACCUCUUUCAGUAGGGAAGAAGGCCUUCGGGUUGACGGUACCUGCAGAAGAAGCGCCGGCUAACUACGUG